GAUGCUGCGCCGGCAGAACGGAUUACUUUGAUGGUGUAAAAAAUGGUAUUUUUACCCGGCAUC
rnacentral:tRNA from 1 species